GGGGGGGCAAGCGUUGUUCGGAAUUACUGGGCGUAAAGAGCUCGUAGGCGGCCUGUUUAGUCGGACGUGAAAUCCCUCGGCUCAACCGAGGAACUGCGUCCGAUACUGGCAGGCUUGAAUCCGGGAGAGGGAUGCGGAAUUCCAGGUGUAGCGGUGAAAUGCGUAGAUAUCUGGAGGAACACCGGUGGCGAAGGCGGCAUCCUGGACCGGCAUUGACGCUGAGGAGCGAAAGCCAGGGUAGCAAACGGGGAUUAGAUACCCCGGUAGUCCUGGCCCUAAACGAUGAAUGCUUGGUGUGGCGGGUAUCGAUCCCCUGCUGUGCCGAAGCUAACGCAUUAAGCAUUCCGCCUGGGGAUACGGUCGCAAGGCUG
rnacentral:rRNA from 1 species